GCUUAAUCAGCGUUUGUCAUCGUUGCGUCAGCAGAUCAGCUCUCCCACGUAAUUUCUCGAGAAAUUACUUUUUCUAGUUAUUAUUCUUACUACUUAUUCCGCCCUUUUUUUGAUUGCUAUCUACUUUUUAACGCUUCAUCGUAGAAUCGUCGUUCAACUUUCUAA
rnacentral:lncRNA from 1 species